AGCAGUCGCCGCGGUAAUACGUAGGUGGCAAGCGUUGUCCGGAAUUAUUGGGCGUAAAGGGCUCGCAGGCGGUUUCUUAAGUCUGAUGUGAAAGCCCCCGGCUCAACCGGGGAGGGUCAUUGGAAACUGGGAAACUUGAGUGCAGAAGAGGAGAGUGGAAUUCCACGUGUAGCGGUGAAAUGCGUAGAGAUGUGGAGGAACACCAGUGGCGAAGGCGACUCUCUGGUCUGUAACUGACGCUGAGGCGCGAAAGCGUGGGGAGCAAACAGGAUUAGAUACCCCAGUAGUCCCUGUCUCUUAUAC
rnacentral:rRNA from 1 species